rnacentral:lncRNA from 1 species
AGAAAGAUGAGCCCGACCUUGCGGACGACGAUGACGACGACACCACCAAUGACGAUGCUGGCUACGCUGCUGCUGAUGACGAUGCCGCCGCCGAUGCUGCCUACGCUGCUGCUGAUGACGAUGCCGCCGCCGAUGCUGCCUACGCUGCUGCUGAUGACGAUGCCGCCGCCGAUGCUGCCUACGCUGCUGCUGAUGACGCCGCCGCCGACGAUGCUGCCUACGCCGCCGACAAUGACGAUUCCGCCACCGAAGAUCAAACUGAUGAUGUUAUUGCCAUGCAAUCAUGUCCAAUUUGUGGCCAGGACUUUGCUGUCGACUUCUUGCCUAUUCAUGCAGCAGGGUGUAAUGAAAGGCCCGAAGAACCAUUGCCUUCAACCUCCACCCAGCCUCAAAUCCAGGGCAGACCUGAAGGAGUGCAGGACAGAGCUGAAGGAGUGGAUGAUAGCGCCUGGAGGAACAUUGCUGAUGUGCGUAUGGCGGCAGAUGUUUACAGACAGGCACUUUUGCUGGCCAAAGAAGAUGAGCGCAUCUUAAGGGUCAAGCUAGACAUGGCCGAAGAUGAGGAGGACAGAGAGGGCCAGAUCAUCAAUUUUUACAAGGCCCCAAACAUUGAUUGGGCAAGACCUUUUCAGGCCAAAUUACAGGGGGAUAUCGCCAUUGGAGAUGGGGUGACAAGGCACUUCCUGAGCCUGGUCAUCCACAAGCUCGAGCAUGGCUUUAGGAUCAAUGUUGGAAAUUCAUUUGGUACCAUGCUAUUUGAGGGGCAGUCCGGUCACCUUGUCCCCUCUAAUAGUAAAGUGUUUGUACAAAACGACAUGUACAUAAUGGCUGGGCGGAUGAUAGGGCACGCCUUCCUCCAUAGUGGCCCACGCCUGACAGGACUUAGCCCGGCUGUGAAACAUGUCCUGGCUGGUGGCACCCCACAAACGGCCACCAUUACGUUAGAAGAUAUCACAGACAUCGAUGUACGAGAAACACUUGGACCAGUAAGUAAAGGGGAGUGCACAAUACAUAGCUUAACUGUUGUCAUUUCAUUAAUGUGCUGGCAAAUGCCAG